rnacentral:rRNA from 1 species
UGCGCCCCCGGCCCGCGCCGCCGAAGACCCCAACAUGAACGCUGUUCUGAAAGUAUGCAGUCUGAGUUGAUUAUACGUAAUCAGUUAAAACUUUCAACAACGGAUCUCUUGGUUCCGGCAUCGAUGAAGAACGCAGCGAAAUGCGAUAAGUAAUGUGAAUUGCAGAAUUCAGUGAAUCAUCGAGUCUUUGAACGCACAUUGCGCCCCCUGGUAUUCCGGGGGGCAUGCCUGUCCGAGCGUCAUUGCUGCCCUCAAGCACGGCUUGUGUGUUGGGCCCCCGUCCCCCUCUCCCGGGGGACGGGCCCGAAAGGCAGCGGCGGCACCGCGUCCGGUCCUCGAGCGUAUGGGGCUUUGUCACCUGCUCUGUAGGCCCGGCCGGCGCCAGCCGACACCCAACUUUAUUUUUCUAAGGUUGACCUCGGAUCAGG